rnacentral:rRNA from 1 species
UUUUUGGGCCCAGCUUGGUCGGGGGAAACUACAUGGAAACGGUGGCUAAUACCGGAAUAUGCCGAAAGGUAAAAGGCUUGCUGCCUGAAGAUGAGCUCGCGUCUGAUUAGCUAGUUGGUGUGGUAAGAGCGCACCAAGGCGACGAUCAGUAGCUGGUCUGAGAGGAUGAUCAGCCACACUGGGACUGAGACACGGCCCAGACUCCUACGGGAGGCAGCAGUGGGGAAUUUUCCGCAAUGGGCGAAAGCCUGACGGAGCAAUACCGCGUGAGGGAGGAAGGCUCUUGGGUUGUAAACCUCUUUUCUCAGGGAAGAAAAAAAUGACGGUACCUGAGGAAUCAGCAUCGGCUAACUCCGUGCCAGCAGCCGCGGUAAUACGGAGGAUGCAAGCGUUAUCCGGAAUGAUUGGGCGUAAAGCGUCCGCAGGUGGCUAUGUAAGUCUGCUGUUAAAGAGCAAAGCUUAACUUUGUAAAAGCAGUGGAAACUACAUAGCUAGAGUGCGUUCGGGGCAGAGGGAAUUCCUGGUGUAGCGGUGAAAUGCGUAGAGAUCAGGAAGAACACCGGUGGCGAAGGCGCUCUGCUAGGCCGCAACUGACACUGAGGGACGAAAGCUAGGGGAGCGAAAGGGAUUAGAUACCCCUGUUAGUCACCGGACGUUACUCCACCCGUCCGG